rnacentral:lncRNA from 1 species
GCCUAUGUGGCCCGUGUUGUCAGGGCAUUAUAAAUAGUUCUUCCAGUUUGAAUUUUUUGUGUUUCUUAUGUGGCUUUGUCUUGCUAGAGCAAGCUAAUGAGUUCAGUUCAAGCCUUUUUUUAUCAUGUGGUAAGGUUUGUGGUCAAUCCAUCAUUUAGAUCAAAAGUUAAGUGCAUUUUACUAAAGAGUGGUAUGUCUGACGCGAGAGGAAGCUGCCUAGAUUCUAAUGUGGUGUUGAGUGACACUACAAGGGUUUCGAACGACACUCAACCUGUUUAGAAACCGACUCGUGAUUUAAUGAAGUUUUAAGAGUUGCAAGUUCGCCCAAAGUUCAUAUGCACAAGAGUCCUAGAGCAUAUUUAGACCUAUAUUUACGAUUGUCUAGCCACUGUUUUGGUGAAGCUUUGUUUUUGAGAUUGGGAGAGAAGGGAAGAACUCUGUUGGGAGUCUUCUUGGUACUCCUUUCAAUUUAUUUAUGAUAUUUAUUUAGUCUUUGAUUGUGUUUGUAUCAAUCAUGUAUGACUAAUCACCAUGUUAGAUUUAGGGAUUUUCUAGGGUUAUGAAAAGUUGUUGAUCAAUGGAACUUCUAGGAUAAUCUGAUUUUAUCCUUCGCUUGGAUUGCUAAUCCAGCAUGUUUCUAGAAUAUAUAACUAGAAAUUGAUCCUAGGAUAGUUGCGAGACACGAGCUUGUAAUCAACACUUAAUUGAAUCCUUGCGAGCUAAAUAACUAUUUACAGCGAAAAUUGGUCUAAAGAUUUAAUGAACUAACCGAAUUGAAAUUAUUGUUUGUCUGAUUCAUUGAAUUCACAAGGUGUUUGAUUAGAUUUAGGCAUCUGAUAGUUAUCGCAACGAGAAUUGGGUAACUUACUAUUAAAUACGAGUUC